UACAGGGGGGGCAAGCGUUGUUCGGAAUUACUGGGCGUAAAGGGCUCGUAGGCGGCCAACUAAGUCCGACGUGAAAUCCCUCGGCUUAACCGGGGAACUGCGUCUGAUACUGGAUGGCUUGAGUUCGGGAGAGGGAGGCGGAAUUCCAGGUGUAGCGGUGAAAUGCGUAGAUAUCUGGAGGAACACCGGUGGCGAAGGCGGCAUCCUGGACCGACACUGACGCUGAGGAGCGAAAGCCAGGGGAGCAAACGGG
rnacentral:rRNA from 1 species